rnacentral:rRNA from 1 species
AAAGGAAUAGACGGGGGCCCGCACAAGCGGAGGAACAUGUGGUUUAAUUCGAUGAUACGCGAGGAACCUUACCCGGGCUCGAACGGUGCAUGAAUAUACGAGAGAUUGUAUAGUCCUUCGGGACAUGUAUCGAGGUGCUGCAUGGUUGUCGUCAGCUCGUGCCGUGAGGUGUCGGCUUAAGUGCCAUAACGAGCGCAACCCUUGUCAUUAGUUGCCAUCAGGUCAAGCUGGGGACUUUAAUGAGACUGCCACCGUAAGGUGUGAGGAAGGGGGGGAUGACGUCAAAUCAGCACGGCCCUUAUGUCCGGGGCGACACACGUGUUACAAUGGGAGGUACAGAGGGCAGCUAUCCGGUGACGGAAUGCUAAUCUCCAAAACCUUUCUCAGUUCGGAUUGGAGUCUGCAACUCGACUCCAUGAAGGUGGAUUCGCUAGUAAUCGCGCAUCAGCCAUGGCGCGGUGAAUACGUUCCCGGGCCUUGUACACACCGCCCGU